UAUGUUUUGCUAAGCAGUAAAUUCCUUAUCACCUUUUACAUUAUCACCUGUUUGUGACAAUAACGAGGCACCAACUAUUUCUGAAUCUUUUAUUCAGUCAGAUAAACUAACAUUGCCCCCUAUUCUCCUUGCUGCUGUGGAAAGAAAAGAAAUAGACUUUAGUAUUCCAAAAAGGUCAAAACUAAAGGAGUAUGUUAAGGAUUUUUUUUUUGAUGUCAUGAAGCAACAGUAAGGGUUAUUUCCAAGUACAAGUAACUUCUAUGAAGUAGCAAAUGAGCUUUUCCUAAGGUAUCCUUCUCUAAAACCUCGUCACUGCAAUGGCUCUGAACUUCUUGUGCAUUUGUUGAAGGCAAAAUUUAAGCGAGUUAGGCGUCCUCUUCUAAAUAAUGAGCAAGCUGCACAGUUUAAAAUAAAGUACUCUAGAAUUAAUUCUGGUCGUAAGCAAAAUUCUGUCUUGCUGAAUGAGUCUGUUAAUCUUUGCUCAGCAAAACGUCACUGCCAUCAUUCAAGUGAUAAGAAUGUGGAUGAUGGUAUAACUCAAGAUAUUAUAAAAAGUAUAAAGAAUGUGUGUCAGAAACUGCGCCCAGAUAUAGAAUUUUUGGCUCACCAGAUUAUCUUGUCUAUUGAAACAUUCAAAUAUACAUGCCGAAAUGAAAGAACUUUGGAUGUUCUUAAUAAAUUCCCAGCACUUUACUAUGAAAAAGUUGUAA